AUGGACAGCAUUUGCCCCACGUUCGGCGGGAGCCGGCCCGGGGUGUCGACGGAGCUGGUCCAUUCGGUCAGCGAGGAGGCCAGCGUCGCCUGCGGCUACUCCCGCACCGCCUCCCCCUCCGCCUACGCUUCCGUGUCGCUUGGGAGAUCGAAGCUGAAUGGCGGCGCGACGAGCUCGGGGCUGGUGUUGAGAGUGGACGCACCGCUGCACGGUUUUGGGUAA
rnacentral:rRNA from 1 species